UACGUAGGUGGCAAGCGUUGUCCGGAUUUACUGGGCGUAAAGGGCGCGUAGGCGGCCACCGCAAGUCGACUGUGAAAUCUCCGGGCUUAACCCGGAACGGUCAGCCGAUACUGCGGGGCUAGAGUGCAGAAGGGGCAACUGGAAUUCUCGGUGUAGCGGUGAAAUGCGUAGAUAUCGGGAGGAACACCAGUGGCGAAGGCGGUUGCCUGGAGCUUUGCUGACGCUGAUGCGCGAAAGCGUGGGGAGCGAUCCGG
rnacentral:rRNA from 1 species